UGGGGAAUAUUGCACAAUGGGGGAAACCCUGAUGCAGCGACGCCGCGUGAACGAAGAAGGUAUUCGUAUCGUAAAGUUCUGUCCUAUGGGAAGAUAAUGACAGUACCAUAGAAGAAAGCUCCGGCUAAAUACGUGCCAGCAGCCGCGGUAAUACGUAUGGAGCGAGCGUUGUCCGGAAUUAUUGGGCGUAAAGGGUACGCAGGCGGUUUAAUAAGUCGAAUGUUAAAGAUCGGGGCUCAACCCCGCAAAGCAUUGGAAACUGAUAAACUUGAGUAGUGGAGAGGAAAGUGGAAUUCCUAGUGUAGUGGUCAAAUACGUAGAUAUUAGGAGGAAUACCAGUAGCGAAGGCGACUUUCUGGACACAAACUGACGCUGAGGUACGAAAGCGUGGGGAGCAAACAGG
rnacentral:rRNA from 1 species